rnacentral:rRNA from 1 species
GAGUUUGAUCCUGGCUCAGGACGAACGCUGGCGGUGCGCCUUAUGCAUGCAAGUCGAGCGAAGCUUUCAGUAGUUUACUACAGAAAAUGACUGAGCGGCGAACGGGUGAGUAACGCGUGAGCAAUCUACCUUAGUUACAGGGAUAGCCCGAGGAAACUCGGAUUAAUACCUGAUAUUCUUUAUUUCUCGCAUGAGAAUAAAAGGAAAGGUCAGCCGAACUAAGAUGAGCUCGCGUUCUAUCAGCUAGUUGGUGAGGUAAAAGCUUACCAAGGCUACGACGGAUAGCUGGUCUGAGAGGACGAUCAGCCACACUGGGACUGAGACACGGCCCAGACUCCUACGGGAGGCUGCAGCAGGGAAUAUUGUGCAAUGAACGAAAGUUUGACACAGCGACACCGCGUGUGGGAUGACGGAUCUAGGUUUGUAAACCACUUUCAGGAGGGAAGAAAAUGACGGUACCUCCAC